rnacentral:tRNA from 2 species
GUUUUAAUAGUUUAAAUAAAAAUUAUGAUCUUGUAAAUCAUAGAUAGGAUGAACCUUUAAAACU